rnacentral:lncRNA from 1 species
AUGCUCCUCCCUCAGCGGGCUCCCGGGACGCCUGGCCGCUGGGGAGAGGGGUGCAUGCCACAGGCAGCACUCAUCCUGCCCUGUGUAUCACUCCAUGCCCUUACCCCCCAAGACAGGGGUGCUGAUUACAUCAUAAAGGACAGCCCUUCUUCUCUGCAGGACAUCAUUCACCACCAGGCCAUGGGGAAGGGCUGGGGAGAAAGCAGCCUAGAGAGGCAACUCCCAUCCCUGAACCCAGCCACAAGUAAUACCUCACUCUCCUGGCUCUUAGAGCUAAAUCCUUGGGACUCCAAUCAACCACCAACUAGAACACAGAGCACAAAGAGAAGAGACAAGGCUAAUGCUGCACAUCCAAAGACAAUGGUUACAUUGAAAGGCUACUCCAAAAACACACCAGAACUAAAAAGAUGGCUGUGUGCUCCCAACACAUACCAGAACCAGGGAUACAGGCGUGCUCCCCAUACACACCAGAACCAGGGAUACAGGCGUGCUCUCUACACACACCAGAACCAGGGAUACAGGCGUGCUCCCCAUACACACCAGAACCAGGGAUACAGGUGUGCUCUCUACAUACACCAGAACCAGGGAUACAGGCAUGCUCCCCAUACACACCAAACCAGGGAUACAGGCGUGCUCCCCACACACCAGAACCAGGGAUACAGGCGUGCUCCCUACACACACCAGAACCAGGGAUACAGGUGUGCUCCCUACACACACCAGAACCGGGGAUACAGGCGUGCUCCCUACACACACCAGAACCGGAGAUACAGGCGUGCUCCCUACACACACCAGAACCAGGGAGACAGGCGUGCUCCCCAUACACACACCAUAACCAGGGAUACCGGCGUGCUCUCUACACACAAUAGAACCAGGGAUACCGGCGUGCUCACCACACACCAGAACCAGGGAUACAGGCGUGCUCCCUACACACACCAGAACCAGGGAUACAGGCGUGCUCCCUACACACACCAGAACCAGGGAUACAGGUGUGCUCCCUACACACACCAGAACCAGGGAUGCAUGAUACACCAAUAUUAG